UACGUAGGGUGCGAGCGUUAAUCGGAAUUACUGGGCGUAAAGCGCACGCAGGCGGCUGCGUAAGUCUGACGUGAAAUCUCUCGGCUUAACCGGGAGCGGUCGUUGGAAACUAUGCGGCUUGAGGCGAUGAGAGGGGUGUGGAAUUCCCGGUGUAGUGGUGGAAUGCGUAGAUAUCGGGAGGAACAUCAGUGGCGAAGGCGAUUCUCUGGGCCUUACCUGACGCUGAGGAGCGAAAGCGUGGGGAGCGAACAGG
rnacentral:rRNA from 1 species